rnacentral:rRNA from 1 species
CCUACGGGAGGCAGCAGUGGGGAAUAUUGGGCAAUGGGCGCAAGCCUGACCCAGCAACGCCGCGUGAAGGAAGAAGGCUUUCGGGUUGUUAACUUCUUUUGUCAGGGAAGAGUAGAAGACGGUACCUGACGAAUAAGCCACGGCUAACUACGUGCCAGCAGCCGCGGUCAUACGUAGGUGGCAAGCGUUGUCCGGAUUUACUGGGUGUAAAGGGCGUGUAGCCGGGUUGACAAGUCAGAUGUGAAAUCCUGCGGCUUAACCGCAGAACUGCAUUUGAAACUGUUGAUCUUGAGUACUGGAGAGGCAGACGGAAUGCCUAGUGUAGCGGUGAAAUGCGUAGAUAUUAGGAGGAACACCAGUGGCGAAGGCAGUCUGCUGGACAGCAACUGACGGUGAGGCGCGAAAGCGUGGGGAGCAAACAGGAUUAGAUACCCGAGUAGUC